UACGUAGGGUGCAAGCGUUGUCCGGAAUUACUGGGCGUAAAGAGCUCGUAGGUGGUUUGUCGCGUUGUUCGUGAAAACUCACAGCUCAACUGUGGGCGUGCGGGCGAUACGGGCAGACUAGAGUACUGCAGGGGAGACUGGAAUUCCUGGUGUAGCGGUGGAAUGCGCAGAUAUCAGGAGGAACACCGGUGGCGAAGGCGGGUCUCUGGGCAGUAACUGACGCUGAGGAGCGAAAGCGUGGGGAGCAAACAGG
rnacentral:rRNA from 1 species